UUACUACUCCCUCCGUUCCGAAUUACUUGUCGCACGUAUGGAUGUAUCUAGAUGUAUUUUAGUUCUAGAUACAUCCAUUUCUGCGAUGAGUAAUUUGGAACGGAGGGAGAAGUAC
rnacentral:pre_miRNA from 1 species